ACGAAGCGCUUGAACAGAUUUCUUCGGAUUGAAGUUUUUGCGACUGAGUGGCGGACGGGUGAGUAACGCGUGGGUAACCUGCCUCAUACAGGGGGAUAACAGUUAGAAAUGACUGCUAAUACCGCAUAAGCGCACGGUGCUGCAUGGCACAGUGUGAAAAACUCCGGUGGUAUGAGAUGGACCCGCGUCUGAUUAGCUAGUUGGUGGGGUAACGGCCUACCAAGGCGACGAUCAGUAGCCGGCCUGAGAGGGUGAACGGCCACAUUGGGACUGGGACACGGCCCAAACUCCUACGGGAGGCAGCAGUGGGGAAUAUUGCACAAUGGGGGAAACCCUGAUGCAGCGACGCCGCGUGAGCGAAGAAGUAUUUCGGUAUGUAAGGCUCUAUCAGCAGGGAAGAAAUAGGACGGUACCUGACUAAGAAGCACCGGCUAAAUACGUGCCAGCAGCCGCGGUAAUACGUAUGGUGCAAGCGUUAUCCGGAUUUACUGGGUGUAAAGGGAGCGUAGACGGUUGUGUAAGUCUGAUGUGAAAGCCCGGGGCUCAACCCCGGGACUGCAUUGGAAACUAUGUAACUAGAGUGUCGGAGAGGUAAGCGGAAUUCCUAGUGUAGCGGUGAAAUGCGUAGAUAUUAGGAGGAACACCAGUGGCGAAGGCGGCUUACUGGACGAUCACUGACGUUGAGGCUCGAAAGCGUGGGGAGCA
rnacentral:rRNA from 1 species